rnacentral:rRNA from 1 species
CCCUUAGAUGUUCUGGGCCGCACGCGCGCUACACUGACGGAUUCAACGAGCUUACAACCUUGGCCGAAAGGUCUGGGUAAUCUCCAAAAUCCGUCGUGAUGGGGAUAGAUUAUUGCAAUUAUUAAUCUUCAACGAGGAAUGCCUAGUAAGCGCAAGUCAUCAGCUUGCGUUGACUACGUCCCUGCCCUUUGUACACACCGCCCGUCGCUCCUACCGAUUGAAUGGUCCGGUGAAGCGUUUGGACUAUGGUUUUCUGAUGGUCCGCCGUUGGAUUACCGUGGGAAGUUCGUUAAACCUUAUCAUUUAGAGGAAGGAGAAGUCGUAACA